GAACGUACCCUUCGGUUCGGAAUAACUCAGGGAAACUUGAGCUAAUACCGGAUACGCCCUUUUGGGGAAAGGUUUACUGCCGAAGGAUCGGCCCGCGUCUGAUUAGCUUGUUGGUGGGGUAACGGCCUACCAAGGCGACGAUCAGUAGCUGGUCUGAGAAGAUGAUCAGCCAUACUGGGACUGAGACACGGCCCAGACUCCUACGGGAGGCAGCAGUGGGGAAUAUUGGACAAUGGGCGCAAGCCUGAUCCAGCCAUGCCGCGUGAGUGAUGAAGGCCUUAGGGUUGUAAAGCUCUUUUGUCCGGGACGAUAAUGACGGUACCGGAAGAAUAAGCCCCGGCUAACUUCGUGCCAGCAGCCGCGGUAAUACGAAGGGGGCUAGCGUUGCUCGGAAUCACUGGGCGUAAAGGGCGCGUAGGCGGCCGAUUAAGUCGGGGGUGAAAGCCUGUGGCUCAACCACAGAAUUGCCUUCGAUACUGGUUGGCUUGAGACCGGAAGAGGACAGCGGAACUGCGAGU
rnacentral:rRNA from 1 species